GCCUGGGUGGCUCAGUCAGUUAAGCAUCUGACUUCAGCUCAGGUCAUGAUCUCACGGUUUGUGGGUUCAAGCCCUGCAUCAGGCU
rnacentral:tRNA from 1 species